CCAGACUUGCCCUCCAAUUGUUCCUCGUUAAAGGAUUUAAAGUGUACUCAUUCCGAUUACCGGGCCUCGGAUGAGUCCGGUAUCGUUAUUUUUCGUCACUACCUCGGCCUUCGGCCAGUGGGUAAUUUGCGUGCCUGCUGCCUUCCGUAGAAGUGGUAGCCGUUUCUCAGGCUCCCUCUCCGGAAUCGAACCCUAAUUCCCCGUUACCCGUCAAAACCACUGUGGGCGUCUAUGCCACAGUCGACAGUUGAUAGGGCACACCUUGGAAGGACACGUCGCCGGAACGAGUCCGUGCGAUCAGCCCAAAGUGUGCCCUAUCAACUGUCGACUGUGGCAUAGACGCCCACAGUGGUUUUGACGGGUAACGGGGAAUUAGGGUUCGAUUCCGGAGAGGGAGCCUGAGAAACGGCUACCACUUCUACGGAAGGCAGCAGGCACGCAAAUUACCCACUGGCCGAAGGCCGAGGUAGUGACGAAAAAUAACGAUACCGGACUCAUCCGAGGCCCGGUAAUCGGAAUGAGUACACUUUAAAUCCUUUAACGAGGAACAAUUGGAGGGCAAGUCUGGUGCCAGCAGCCGCGGUAAUUCCAGCUCCAAUAGCGUAUAUUAAAGUUGUUGCGGUUAAAAAGCUCGUAGUUGGAUCUCGGCGGGCAGGGGGUGGUUCGCUCUUCAGCGCUACUGCCCCGCUUUGCCCGUGUGAUUGGCGGAGGUUUCGGGGUGCUCUUCGUUGAGUGACUCGGAGCGCCGUCAGGUUUACUUUGAAAAAAUUAGAGUGCUCAAAGCAGGCUUUUCACGCUUGAAUAUUCGUGCAUGGAAUAAUGGAAUAGGAACUCGUUUCUAUUUUGUUGGUUUUCGGAAAUCGAGUUAAUGAUUAACAGGGACAAUUGGGGGCAUUAGUAUUCAGACGACAGAGGUGAAAUUCUUGGACCGUCUGAAGACUGACUACUGCGAAAGCAUUUGCCAAGAGUGUUUUCAUUAAUCAAGAACGAAAGUUAGAGGUUCGAAGGCGAUCAGAUACCGCCCUAGUUCUAACCAUAAACGAUGCCAGCUAGCGAUCUGCCGAGUUUUUUUUGUAGGCUCCGCAGGAAGCUUUCGGGAAACCAAAGCUUUUGGGUUCCGGGGGAAGUAUGGUUGCAAAGCUGAAACUUAAAGGAAUUGACGGAAGGGCACCACCAGGAGUGGAGCCUGCGGCUUAAUUUGACUCAACACGGGAAAUCUCACCAGGCCCGGACACUGGAAGGAUUGACAGAUUGAGAGCUCUUUCUCGAUUCGGUGGGUGGUGGUGCAUGGCCGUUCUUAGUUGGUGGAGUGAUUUGUCUGGUUAAUUC
rnacentral:rRNA from 1 species